GAUGAAGAACGCAGCGAAAUGCGAUACUUGGUGUGAAUUGCAGAAUCCCGUGAACCAUCGAGUCUUUGAACGCAAGUUGUGCCCGAAGCCACUAGGCCGAGGGCACGCCUGCCUGGGUGUCACACGUCGUUGCCCCCCCCCCAUCUACUCCUUCGGGAUUGCGGGGGGCGGAUGAUGGCCUCCCGUGCGCCUAGCCGCGCGGUUGGCAUAAAUACCAAGUCCUCGGCGACGCACGCCACGACAAUCGGUGGUUGCGAAACCUCGGUUGCCCGUCGUGUGCGUUCGUCGCGCAUCGAGGGCUCGAAAAAAUGCUCGGCUCCGGCUCGGCUUUCAACGCGACCCCAGGUCAGGCGGGGUUACCCGCUGAAUUUAAGCAUAUCAAUAAGCGGAGGA
rnacentral:misc_RNA from 1 species